UACACUCCUGCGGGAGGCAGCAGUGGGGAAUUUUGGACAAUGGGCGAAAGCCUGAUCCAGCAAUGCCGCGUGCAGGAUGAAGGCCUUCGGGUUGUAAACUGCUUUUGUACGGAACGAAAAAGCUCCUUCUAAUACAGGGGGCCCAUGACGGUACCGUAAGAAUAAGCACCGGCUAACUACGUGCCAGCAGCCGCGGUAAUACGUAGGGUGCGAGCGUUAAUCGGAAUUACUGGGCGUAAAGCGUGCGCAGGCGGUUAUGUAAGACAGAUGUGAAAUCCCCGGGCUCAACCUGGGAACUGCAUUUGUGACUGCAUGGCUAGAGCACGGUAGAGGGGGAUGGAAUUCCGCGUGUAGCAGUGGAAUGCGUAGGUAUGCGGAGGAACACCGAUGGCGAAGGCAAUCCCCUGGACCUGUACUGACGCUCAUGCACGAAAGCGUGGGGAGCAAACAGGAUUAGAUACCCCAGUAGUCCCA
rnacentral:rRNA from 1 species